rnacentral:rRNA from 1 species
GGGACUGAGACACGGCCCAGACUUCUACGGGAGGCAGCAGUGGGGAAUUUUCCGCAAUGGGCGAAAGCCUGACGGAGCAAUACCGCGUGAGGGAUGACGGCCUAUGGGUUGUAAACCUCUUUUUUCAGGGAGGAAUAAAUGACGUGUACCUGAAGAAUAAGCAUCGGCUAACUCCGUGCCAGCAGCCGCGGUAAGACGGAGGAUGCAAGUGUUAUCCGGAAUCACUGGGCGUAAAGCGUCUGUAGGUUGUUAAAUAAGUCAACUGUUAAAUCUUGAGGCUCAACUUCAAAAUCGCAGUCGAAACUGUUUGACUAGAGUAUAGUAGGGGUAAAGGGAAUUUCCAGUGGAGCGGUGAAAUGCGUAGAUAUUGGAAAGAACACCGAUGGCGAAGGCACUUUACUGGGCUAUUACUGACACUCAGAGACGAAAGCUAGGGUAGCAAAUGGGAUUAGAUACCCCAGUAGUCCUAGCCGUAAACAAUGGAUACUAGAUGUUGAACAGAUCGACCUGUGCAGUAUCAAAGCUAACGCGUUAAGUAUCCCGCCUGGGAAGUAUGCGCGCAAGCGUGAAACUCAAAGGAAUUGACGGGGGCCCGCACAAGC